rnacentral:rRNA from 7 species
GCCCUUGUUCUAUAGAUUUGU